CACCGUUGGAGCUCCCCUGUUGGAGCAAUCUCCAAGGCCCCCACGUUGCUCCCCCUAUUUCGUGAGGAGGCUGAUCGGUGUUUGGCCAGUAAGGACCUAGGCCAUCAGGUCCUAGGGCCCCUGACCCUCUGGGUCUGAUCCUUUACUGGCGCCCCACUCGUAGGAGCUCCCUUGCAAGAGGAGACUUCUUCAAGCCUCCCAAGUUACCGCCAUUCCUUGAGGAGGCUCACUGGUGUGCCCAGCCAGUAGGGACCUAGGGCAUCAGGUCUCAGGACCACUGACCCUCUGGGUCAAGUCCACUUCACCCCUCCCCACACCGUUGGAGCUCCCCUGUUGGAGCAAUCUCCAAGGCCCCCACGUUGCUCCCCCUAUUUCGUGAGGAGGCUGAUCGGUGUUUGGCCAGUAAGGACCUAGGCCAUCAGGUCCUAGGGCCCCUGACCCUCUGGGUCUGAUCCUUUACUGGCGCCCCACUCGUAGGAGCUCCCUUGCAAGAGGAGACUUCUUCAAGCCUCCCAAGUUACCGCCAUUCCUUGAGGAGGCUCACUGGUGUGCCCAGCCAGUAGGGACCUAGGGCAUCAGGUCUCAGGACCACUGACCCUCUGGGUCAAGUCCACUUCACCCCUCCCCACACCGUUGGAGCUCCCCUGUUGGAGCAAUCUCCAAGGCCCCCACGUUGCUCCCCCUAUUUCGUGAGGAGGCUGAUCGGUGUUUGGCCAGUAAGGACCUAGGCCAUCAGGUCCUAGGGCCCCUGACCCUCUGGGUCUGAUCCUUUACUGGCGCCCCACUCGUAGGAGCUCCCUUGCAAGAGGAGACUUCUUCAAGCCUCCCAAGUUACCGCCAUUCCUUGAGGAGGCUCACUGGUGUGCCCAGCCAGUAGGGACCUAGGGCAUCAGGUCUCAGGACCACUGACCCUCUGGGUCAAGUCCACUUCACCCCUCCCCACACCGUUGGAGCUCCCCUGUUGGAGCAAUCUCCAAGGCCCCCACGUUGCUCCCCCUAUUUCGUGAGGAGGCUGAUCGGUGUUUGGCCAGUAAGGACCUAGGCCAUCAGGUCCUAGGGCCCCUGACCCUCUGGGUCUGAUCCUUUACUGGCGCCCCACUCGUAGGAGCUCCCUUGCAAGAGGAGACUUCUUCAAGCCUCCCAAGUUACCGCCAUUCCUUGAGGAGGCUCACUGGUGUGCCCAGCCAGUAGGGACCUAGGGCAUCAGGUCUCAGGACCACUGACCCUCUGGGUCAAGUCCACUUCACCCCUCCCCACACCGUUGGAGCUCCCCUGUUGGAGCAAUCUCCAAGGCCCCCACGUUGCUCCCCCUAUUUCGUGAGGAGGCUGAUCGGUGUUUGGCCAGUAAGGACCUAGGCCAUCAGGUCCUAGGGCCCCUGACCCUCUGGGUCUGAUCCUUUACUGGCGCCCCACUCGUAGGAGCUCCCUUGCAAGAGGAGACUUCUUCAAGCCUCCCAAGUUACCGCCAUUCCUUGAGGAGGCUCACUGGUGUGCCCAGCCAGUAGGGACCUAGGGCAUCAGGUCUCAGGACCACUGACCCUCUGGGUCAAGUCCACUUCACCCCUCCCCACACCGUUGGAGCUCCCCUGUUGGAGCAAUCUCCAAGGCCCCCACGUUGCUCCCCCUAUUUCGUGAGGAGGCUGAUCGGUGUUUGGCCAGUAAGGACCUAGGCCAUCAGGUCCUAGGGCCCCUGACCCUCUGGGUCUGAUCCUUUACUGGCGCCCCACUCGUAGGAGCUCCCUUGCAAGAGGAGACUUCUUCAAGCCUCCCAAGUUACCGCCAUUCCUUGAGGAGGCUCACUGGUGUGCCCAGCCAGUAGGGACCUAGGGCAUCAGGUCUCAGGACCACUGACCCUCUGGGUCAAGUCCACUUCACCCCUCCCCACACCGUUGGAGCUCCCCUGUUGGAGCAAUCUCCAAGGCCCCCACGUUGCUCCCCCUAUUUCGUGAGGAGGCUGAUCGGUGUUUGGCCAGUAAGGACCUAGGCCAUCAGGUCCUAGGGCCCCUGACCCUCUGGGUCUGAUCCUUUACUGGCGCCCCACUCGUAGGAGCUCCCUUGCAAGAGGAGACUUCUUCAAGCCUCCCAAGUUACCGCCAUUCCUUGAGGAGGCUCACUGGUGUGCCCAGCCAGUAGGGACCUAGGGCAUCAGGUCUCAGGACCACUGACCCUCUGGGUCAAGUCCACUUCACCCCUCCCCACACCGUUGGAGCUCCCCUGUUGGAGCAAUCUCCAAGGCCCCCACGUUGCUCCCCCUAUUUCGUGAGGAGGCUGAUCGGUGUUUGGCCAGUAAGGACCUAGGCCAUCAGGUCCUAGGGCCCCUGACCCUCUGGGUCUGAUCCUUUACUGGCGCCCCACUCGUAGGAGCUCCCUUGCAAGAGGAGACUUCUUCAAGCCUCCCAAGUUACCGCCAUUCC